rnacentral:tRNA from 1 species
UAUAUAUAUGAAAUAUAUAUAUAGGUUGGAGAAUGAAAAGAAUAAAAUUAUGAUUU